UUUUGUAUAUAUGUAUAAAAUAUCAAAUUCCAAAUAUACAUAUGUAUAUAUAUAUGUAUAUAUAAAUACAUGUAUUAUGUAUCUACAGGAUAUCUCAUGCAAUGUUUGUAUCUACUUAUAUGCAGGUAGAAUUUAACGAACCAAAUAUUUUAUUAACUGAACAAAAGUUUUAUACAAUUUAGCAACAAUCAUAAUUCUUUAUGUAUUAAUGAUAGAAAAUAAGCAAAUGAGUAUAUGUGUUAGUAAUGAAAUGAAUUCUUAAAAGAUAAAGGAUGGAAAAUCUGAAAGCCCUUAUACACCAUCUGCUGUUGCUAAGUGAUUGUUGAUAGAUUCAAAUAUGUUGGAUGUGACUUUAAGAACUUGCCUCAUCACACAUAUUACCUGCAAUCAUAUUUACUGUCUCUAAUUUUCUUUAAUUAAUAUCUUCAUAAUUAUCACAGUUUGUAGAGUGAUAAAGGAUCUUUUUGUUCAGUUUUAAUGAGUUCUUUCUAUAUAUGAAGAAAUAUACGAGUUAUGUUAAAUCUCUUGUAAACACACAUACAUACACAGAGGUUGAGGUAAUAACUAUUAUUAUCUUAAAAGCUUUUAAUAAAUAAAAUAAAGGAAAAAUUUAGCAAAAAUUACAUUGUACAAAAGUAAUUGUCUUAUGCCAAUAAUGCUUUUCAUGAAGUAUCUUCAAAAAUUUGAAAGUCACUUUGCUUUUCUUAAAUGAAAUAUAGUGUUUUUUGUUCCUUUUUUAUAACUAUUUAAAAAAUGCAAUAUCUGUGAUAUAAUAAAUUACACUAGCUUGUAAAAAUCGAACUUUUUUCUGCGGGUGUAAUGAGAGGUGAUUUUUAUAGAUUUUUGCCCGCUGAACAUGAAUCCGUUGUCCAUAUUUAGCUAUCACAAGUUUGAGAAAAAUGGCGUCAAAGAGGCGAAAAACGACGAUUUUGAGGGUAUUUGUGGUGUUGUAGCACCUGCAGUAAAUUGUUUUGUUAAAUUUUGUUAAUGUGAACAUGAAAAUAUAAACUUGUACCUUUAAAA